CCCGCAGGGCUCCGGGCGGCCGUGACCCUGCUGGAGUGCGGGGGGGACCUCCAGCCCCCCGGGGGGUCCCUGACGUUGCUGUGCCGCGCCUCUGGGUUCGAUUUCGGGAGUUUUGGAAUGUUCUGGAUCCGGCAGAAAUCUGGGAAGACGCUGGAAUACAUCGCCAGUAUCAGCAGCAGUGGUGGUUACACCCACUACGCGCCAUCAGUCAAGGGCCGGUUCACGAUCUCCAGGGACAACGGGCAGAGCUCGGUGACGCUGACCAUGAACAGCCUCAAGGACGAGGAUUCCGCCGUUUAUUUCUGCGCCAAACGUAACAAUAAUGGUUAUGGUUCUGAUGGUCCUGCUCGUAUUGACGACAAUUCCUGCAGUGGCCCCAGCCCCAUUGCAGUCCCAAGUGUCCACAAUGCCCAGGGAUCCUUCCCCGACUCCCAGCUCUGUUCCUCAAAUCUUCACCAGUUCCUUCCAAACUCCACCCCUGCUGUCCCAACUCUAGAAUUUCCCAAAAUUUUGCCCAUUUGA